UGGGGAAUUGUUCGCAAUGGGCGCAAGCCUGACGACGCAACGCCGCGUGGAGGAUGAAGGUCUUCGGAUUGUAAACUCCUGUUGCCCCGGGACGAAUAGCUUCGACCUAAUACGUCGGAGUAUGACGGUACCGGGUGAGGAAGCCCCGGCUAACUCUGUGCCAGCAGCCGCGGUAAUACGGAGGGUGCAAGCAUUGAUCGGAAUUACUGGGCGUAAAGGGCGCGUAGGCGGCUCGAUAAGUCGGAUGUGAAAUUCCGGGGCUCAACCCCGGAGCGGCAUUUGAAACUGUCGAACUAGAGUACAGUUAGGGUAAACGGAAUUCCACGUGUAGUGGUGAAAUGCGUAGAUAUGUGGAAGAACACCGGUGGUGAAGACGGUUUACUGGGCUGUAACUGACGCUGAGGCGCGAAAGCAUGGGGAGCAAACAGGAUUAGAUACCCGUGUAGUCCCUGAGCGGGCUGGCAAGGCGCAU
rnacentral:rRNA from 1 species